rnacentral:lncRNA from 1 species
GUUGAAAAUGAGUGGUGAGAGGGGACAUCCUUGCUUUGUUCCUAAUAUUAGCAGGAAGGCAUGCAGCUUCUUUUGACUAAUAUGUUAUCUGUAGAAUUUUGUAGAUGUUUGUGAUCCAAGUGAGGCAUUUUUAUUAUUGAAAUAAAAUAAAUAAAACUUACUAUUUUAACCAUUAAGGUGCACAAUUCAGUGACAUUAAGUACAUUCACAAUGUUCUGCAACCAUCAAUAUCAUUCACUUUUAGAUCAUUUUCAUCAUCCCAAACAGAAAUUGUACCCAUAAACAAUAAUUCCCCUCUUGCUCUCUUUCAAUCCCCUAAUAACCUCUAUACUUUAUGAUUUUGACUAUUCUGGGCACCUCACAUACGUGUAAUCAUACAAGAUGUGUCUUUGCGUACUUGUACAAGUGUCCUUGUAUAAUAGGCCUGCAUAUGGCUUAUUUUCCUUAGCACAAUGUUUUCUUUUUAGGGGAAAACAGGGUCUUGCUCUGUUACCCUGGCUGGAGUGCAGUGGCACAAACAUGGCUUACUGCAGCCUCAAUCUCCCAGGCACAAGUGAUCUUCCCACCUCAGCCUCCUGAGUAGCUGGGACCACAAGCAUGUGCCACCAUACCUGGCUAAUUUUAAAAUUUUUUGUACAGACAGGGUCUCACCAUUUUGCCCAGGCUGGUCUCAAACUCCUGAGCUCAAGGGAUCCUCCUGCCUCCAUCUCCCAAAGUGCUGAGAUUAUAGGCAAGAGCCACAACACCACCAGCCCUAGCACAAUGUUUUUAAGGUUCAUCCAUGCUAUAGCAUAUAUCAGAGUUUCAUUUCUUUUUAAGAUUGAUUAAUAUUCCAUUGUAAGUAUACCACAUUUUGUUUAUCCAUUUACAAAAUGGACAUUUGGGUUGAUUCUACCUUUUGGCUAUUGUGAGUAAUGCUGCUGUGAACACUGGUGUACAAAUAUCUGUUUGAGUCCCUGCAGCAUAUCAUAAUUCUAUAUUUGUUAAAGAUCUCACAUACUAUUUUCUAUAGUGGUUGCACCAUUUUAUGUUCCCAUCAGCAAUGUACAAUAGUUCCAAUUUCUCCACAUUCUCACCAAAACUUGCUUUCUGUUUUCUUUCUGUAAUGACCCCUA